AUAUUUCAGAUCGACCUCGUCAACUCCGCCCACCAUGUUGCCCUUUCCAUUUCCCUGUCCGCGAGCUUGUUCAGAGAAGGCGAUUCUAGAUCCUCUCUUCCAUUUCUCAAGCUAAUCUCUGUUGCGGUGGAGGUUUUGGUUCUCACAUGUUUCGCCGAGGAUGCGGGGCUGUUGCUGCCGCCGUGAGGCUAGGGCCGGGAGGGGACGCCGGCAGGAGGUACGUACACAGAGGGCUAUGUAUCAUCUGUUCUUACAGCCUGAUCUGGGACAUCUGGGGGGUUUGAGGGCGUUAGGCUUCUGAAGAUGCAUGAAGUAGCAUCGAUCAUUCUGUGGGGAAAUGUUCAGUUGUCUUCUGUACUUGAUUUGUUUUGUUAGCUUCUUGUUCAGUGCAAGCCGAAUGCUGUGAGAGCCAACAGUUAGUUGGCAGUUCAUUUGUUGGUUCAUGUAACAACAGCUUUUGUAAUGUUCAACUAUCUGAUAAAAUUUGUAAUGUUGGAAACUAUAUAAAUAUUUUUGAGUACUUUGACAUCUUUUGUCAUUUAAUUUGCAUGUGUUUGGUUAUAGUGAGCUCCAAAAAAGAUUUUGUGAACAAAAAGUAAUUUAGGUUCCUUUGUAAUCUGUAGUUUCCAUCUGUUGUGUUCAAAUAUGUCAAUUAGGAUAGAGCAUGUGUUGAUUGCCUAAAAAAAGAUAGAGCAUGUGUUGUGUUGAUUAUUAUAUGGAAGAAAUUAUUUUUUAUGUAUGCCGCAUCCACUAAUAUCAUUAUGUGCUGACAUAUAGUUUGUCAAAUAGUUUAUACUUGCUAUCAUUCUAGUGGUGAUUGUCCCAUCAUUUGUAUGUAACUAAAGUGUAAUUGUUGCAAUACUUAAAUAGCUUAGGUAGUUGUUACAUCAUCUUCCAGCGUUUGCCAAAUAAUUCAGAUAAUGUCAUUUUUAUGACAUUUCUUAUAUCUUCUUUGCUAACAUUUGCUUACACUUACCCAUAGUAAUAUCAUUUUUUAGUAGUUACAGUUUAUACUUCCUAUGGUGUUUGUACUGUAAUUUGUACAUGAAUAAGGUAUAAUUGUAGCAAUAUUCGAAACAGGUGGUUGACUUUUACGACUACUUUGUCACUGUCAAUCUUGUAUUCUGUACAGUAAUUCAAUAGCAAGCAAAUGCACAUGCAAAACAUAUGGUUGAUUUUGUAAGAAUAUGCUCAAGCUCUAAUUUGAUAUACUAAGAUUUUUUACGUUAUCAUUUCUGCCUGCCAUUUCAUAUGUUAUAUACAUGUAGGUUCACGUACAGUUAAUUUGGUUAGAUUUUACGGUCAAAUUAUCACUGUAAAUUUAGUAUUUUUAAUCAGUAAUCAAUUAUCAACAAAAUAUAUGUGGAAAUAUGUGUAGCUUAAGCUAUAAAAUAUGAUACAUGAGCAUGGCUAGUGACUUUUAAACUGUGUCUGCUAUCUAUAUUUGUAUGGCAUUCAUCUUUUUAGACCGACUUUAUUUUUUGCUUUCAUAUAUAAUGUCCUUUAAUUUAUUUGUUUCCAUUUAUUAUAUGUUCCUUUGAUGGUUCCAAAUAGUGCACUCGGUGGUGAACCAAAUAGAGCACUCAGGGUAGCACUGUGAUCUCACGUCGUGGUUCUGACAGAGCCAUGUUGUUUGAGGGUGAAUCUAACACUUCUAUGGAACAUAAUGUCAGUUGAAUCUUACAUUCUUCUUUUGUGUAAUCCUUCCCUUUUUCUAUUCAUUAAUUCUUUUUUUAGUAUGUGGGUUAAUCUAUAUUUAUUUCAUUUGUGUAUAACACAUAUUUUUUUGGUUAUGAGUAUGUGAUUAACAAGUCUGAAUCUUGUGACCUAUUUUUUUUUCUUUUGUUCUAAUUGCAUUUUGGAUAUAUCACAUCUGCAGACAUUCAUAGUUUUAGUUACACUUCAUAUCAAUUGAUUUGACAGUGCAUGAUUGAGUGUAAUAUGUGUACAAGGUAAUUGUCAUUAGCUUAUAUGGUAAUUUCGGGGUUUAAUUAGUGUGUAAACUGAUAUUACUACAUGAUAUGACUAUUAGAAAUCUGUAAUAUGUGAAGGUGCAUUCCGUAUGAACAUGAGUGAUAUGAUAUGAUCAUUAUAAACACUAUCUACCCUUCUGUAUGCACACCAGAGAUUUGCCAUUGCUGCCUCUGAAUUCCUAGUGAUUUGCGAAGGUGCAUCUGAGGUAAUCUGUGAUAUAUAAAUCAUCAGAUUUAUUUGCAAUAUCUAAAUGUAAUACCUGAAUGUAUAUAUGCUCUGUACAUAACAUCUGAAUGUUUGCACUCUACUCUGAAUGUGAAAAUCUGAACUCUGUAUGUGAUAUAUAUGAAAUCUGAAUGUUCCAGCAUGAUAACUCUUUAGUUAAGUUUAACCUUUAGUUAGUUACCCAAACUAUGUGCCCAUUUUACCAUUCUAAUCCUGAGCUUCUAGCUGAUUCCCCAAGUAUUUUCUUAUCUCUGAAUAGAUGUCCCCCAAAAGGUGAGCACAUGUGUAUGCAGGUAUGCUCUUGAUCAUCAGCGCAACUUUGUCUAUGUGCUACUUCGAUCAUCAACAUCCGCCUGCAACUUUGUCUAUGCUCUACGAAAUUAGGGACUCGCUAGGGCUGCGUUCAUCAACAUCCGCCCUGCAAAUCAAGAUCCUUAUGCUCACAUGAUGCCCAGGAGGCUUGAUAUCUCAAGAUUUUUUUUUUCCAGCUUAGCAGUAAUCUAUCUGUAGCUAUUAAGCAUACUUUUUGCUAGGUCCAAGCCAUGUGUGAAUAGCAAAUGUAAGAUAAAUGUAUAUAGUGUAAGAGUUUUCUAGCCUAUGAACUUUGGGAGUUUGUUAGCUUUGCUCACGAGUCACAACAGCACUGAUUUUUUCCUAUGUAAUCCAGUUUCAACCUUAUGUAAUCCAAUGUUUUAUCUCACGUUUUAAGCUA